UCCCAUCUUGACAGCGAGACAUGAAAUAAGAAACCAGAUGUUCUCAAUGGUUAACGUGUGCAGUAUUCAAAUCUUACAACUGUUUCAAACUACCUUAUCGCCUAGCUCUUCACUUAGCCUACACGUUACUGAGUGUCCCAAAAUGAAUUCAGCAGACAGCUGAGCAAGACAAUUUAUUUACGUGUGGCUUCUCCAAUAAGCCCCCACAUGACUGGAGAAGAAAGUUAACCCGGGGUCUGCCUGAGCCUGGACGUCGGACAUGUGUGACACUGGUGUCCCCUCCUUGUCAUUAUGCUAAGAUAACUGGCCUUGCAGAUCUAGAAUGAAUGAAAAACUACUUACCGGGGUUGGAAGAGAAGCUAGACCUUGAGACCCGACUCGGAGAUGCCUGUGAAUUGGUAAAGAGUGAACAGCCAUUUAGUGCCUUUUCCGAAACCAACAGCCAAGUUCAUGAAAAUACCCUGUCUACCGAUGCGCAUCUUUGCCAACUGCUCUUAUAUGACUUUGGGAGACUGAGAAAUGGGCCGGAGACUCGCAGGCGCUACUGCUUAGAUACAAGUAUUUCUCCGCUGAUUUAAAAGACAUAGUGAUGGGGUGCGUGCGAGCUGUUAUAACGUCCUCAGACUUCUUCUCCUUCGUCAUCUGAGGGACGUUAAACGUAAACAUCACCGACACUCAGUACCCGCGAGCCUACCAAAGGCACAGAACUACUGACUUUAUACUCGGCUUCACCAGAAAUCGGCACAGGACCUGUGGGCUCCAUUCCGCGUGUGUGCUCUUGGCUGGCAGACACCUAGGGUGUGUCUGAGCCCAGAAGUUAAGGCAGACACUACCCACUCGGGGCACAGGACCAGCCCCAGCACACCCACGUGGACCCCUGACAGUGCUGCCAGAGAAUGUUCUAGAGGCCGAGGAGCAACCACAGAAUGACAUGUAUUUAAGAUAUAAAGUCCAGUAUUGUUUCCAAGAAGGAGAAAAAUAUAUCAUCUGAAUAAUUAAGAGGGAGGGGAUAUCACAAAAUAUAUCCAAAGGCAAAUAAUUUAACUUCUUUCUUUAAUCGAUUUCCAAUUUCUUGAUAUCUAACAUGCGGCUUCUCAAACUUCCCAUGGGAAGGGCCAGUUUCUAAUUUCCAACCUGAACUUGAUCAAGACACUUAUGACUACAUAAAAAUGAAGUAAAAUUUGCCCUGCCCAGGUAGCUCACUUGGUUGGAGCAUCAUCCCAUAAGCCAAAAGAUUGCAGGUUCGAUUCCCGGUCAGGACACAUACCUAGAUUGUGGGUUUGCUCUCUGGUUAUUUCCUAGUUGGGGCUAGUAUGGUAGGCAAUCGAUUGAUGUUUCUCUCUCAUAUUGAUGUUUCUCUCUCUUCCCCUACCUCUCAUUAAAAAAAAAAAAAAAAAAAAAAAAAAA